rnacentral:ribozyme from 1 species
AGCAAUGAUGAUGAAUCGUUCGUUGGUUGUAGAUCUUGCAGUAAAAAGGAUAAGUAUGAUGUAUAUGCUGAGAAAUAAAUUCGACUUUGAUUUAGUUUGAUUCUAUGAGGUGUAUAUGGACGAAUUGUUAAGAUGGAUCAAUGUGA